rfam:Lupinus angustifolius cultivar Tanjil chromosome LG02, whole genome shotgun sequence.
AAAAAGGUUCUUAUAGAACCACUAUCAGUAAAUAGAACAUUUCA